rnacentral:rRNA from 1 species
CAGCCGCCACGGUAAUACGGAGGGCGCGAGCGUUACCCGGAUUUACUGGGCGUAAAGGGCGUGUAGGCGGCCUGGGGCGUCCCAUGUGAAAGGCCACGGCUCAACCGUGGAGGAGCGUGGGAUACGCUCAGGCUAGAGGGUGGGAGAGGGUGGUGGAAUUCCCGGAGUAGCGGUGAAAUGCGCAGAUACCGGGAGGAACGCCGAUGGCGAAGGCAGCCACCUGGUCCACUUCUGACGCUGAGGCGCGAAAGCGUGGGGAGCAAACCGGAUUAGAUACCCACGUAGUCCCUGUCUCUUAUAC